rnacentral:rRNA from 1 species
UACAGAGGGUGCAAGCGUUAAUCGGAUUUACUGGGCGUAAAGCGUGCGUAGGCGGCUCGCUAAGUCGGUUGUGAAAUCCCUGGGCUUAACCUGGGAACUGCAGUCGAUACUGGCGGACUAGAGUACGGUAGAGGGUGGCGGAACUCCGGGUGUAGCGGUGAAAUGCGUAGAUAUCCGGAAGAACACCGAUGGCGAAGGCAACCACCUGGGCCUGUACUGACGCUGAGGUAUGAAAGCGUGGGGAGCAAACAGG